GUCUUCUCUUGCAUCUAUUUUCAAAUUCCAUAGGUAAUGUUUACCUCUCACAGCAGAGAGCGAUUCAGCUGCAGGUAACGAUUCAGCUGCUCUUUUGUACUCUGAGAAACUCCACAGUCACCCAGGCACCAGCAUUUCAUCAUCCUCAGCCCUGCUUUCUUUCCCCAAAUAAUACUGUAGCUGUAUUUCAGUGAGUUGGAGUUGUUCUAGUGAAUCCCGUGCUUUGUGGGAUCCUUGAGGCCACACACGUCUGGGGCUACUUUAGGAGGAAUCAUGCAACUCAGCACAUAGGUGGAUUCAUUACUAAGGUCCAUUACAGUGGAAGAAUGUGUGACAGGAUCACUAAGGGAAAAAGACACAGAUUCUGGAGAAAGCUAUGCACAGGCUUCCUUCCACUCUUUCCUUCCCCUGAGGAGGCGUACCAUUCUUUUUUUUUUUCCAGAAGCAAAAAAUGUGGAAUAUGUGUAGAGUAUUUUCUGCCCAGGAUUGUCUAUUAGAGAAUUGGAUUUCUGGACUUUAUUAGAAGCUGAUUACGGAGGCAUCUUCUGCUUAGCAUGUACCAAAGUUCCGGACUCCCAGAAGGAAAGCAGAUGUUAACGAUAAAUCACGUUGUUUGUACAGACAGUUUAGGUACAGGGAACCUGCCGUAUCAGGGAAUGCUUUGGGUGCUACAUCCUGAGAAGCUAUCCAGGGCGUACCUUGCAAGGAGGCCUUCUAAAGCAGGCAGCCUCAGACCUGCUGUGUUAACGCCUUUCUUCACACAGCAGCCCCUGAGGCAGGAGGCGGGUUGGCCCAGACCACGACUUGAGACUAUGUCUGCCUCAUCUUCCCCAACCCGCCUUGGCCAUGCAUCUUUGCUCCCUAGAACCCAGCCCAACUCAGCAGAGUAUGACUCAGGGAAACCUCUUCAGUCUCUUUUCACGACAAGGGAGGCCCCACCACAGCUGUGGAUUUCAGGCAGAGAAACUAGGGUAGGCCCCCUCUGAGGGUGGAGGAGAGGAGCUUUCAUGCAGACUCUGGUCAGCUUCUGACAGACCUCAGGCCCAGAGCCUAGCACGUCUGUAGCUUCAGCGCGCUUGGCUGCUUUGUGUUCUAGUUUACUUUUUUCUCUACAAAGAUAUGACUGCAUGUUUUAGAUUUUUUUUUUAAGUGUCAUCUGUCAUUGCUACCUGUUUGAAGCAAAGCGUGGUGGAGAGGGGAGACUUAGACUGUAAGUUUACAAUGUCAUCUUAGCCAGAAGAUGUUCUUUUACUUUUUAAUACAUUAUUGCGGGUUUCUCUACUAAGAUAUGGGACUGAACCCAUGGGGCCUACGCUUAGUUGCGUGGUAACUUUGGUGAUACAGUGCUUUCGAAAGAAUUGCCUUUCACCUAGGUUUCUGGCCUACUGUCUUUGUGUCUCUUGACUCUUCCUUUAGGAUAAAUUAUUUCCCAUGGGGUUAUUAGUGGGCCUGCCUUAUAGUGUCUGUUUUGAGGGAGAACCUUAGGUGCUUAAGAUUCCCGUCCUGCUCAUGGCUUUUGGUCAAAGAUAUGACUGAACAUGCAACAACAGAGUUUGGGCCGUCUUACCAUUUCUCAAAAGUCAUUCUACUCAUUGUAGGGAGGGACAAAUAGCUAAUCUCAAAGUCAACCGUUGAUUCAUUUUCUCUUCUGUUAACUUAAAUGAUUCUCAUUACAUUUUUAACAUCAGCUUUUUAUUACUCAGCAUCGUUUUCUCCAGUGUCCUUUUGAGACAUAAUCUCUAUAACGUAAGGUAUCUUGGUAGUAUAAUAAAUCGAGAUGUGUGCACGUUUGACUACGGAAGUCAGAGGAGAUUUUUGGAGACUUGUCACUACUCUGGCCCGCCAAAGGGUGAGUGAAGAGAUCUCAGCUCAGCCAGUGAGUCCUCUUCUCAUAGGAUGUUUGACUCGUGGAUGGGUUGAGACAAGGACUGAAGAAAAUGUUGGCUUACACCUGCAGCAGUCUUGGGUCAACCACGAAGCAGUUCUUGCCGCAGUGACCUCCUGUGCUGGUUUAUGCUGCUCUUAUAAUAUGGUGCUGAGGACCAGACAUGUUGCUUCCGGUGAGAUGUGACUGGUGUAUCCUUCGUGACUUCUGCUACUGGCGAUCCCAUGAUUCGAACACCACGUGUCUUGAAGGAAUUCUUCUCUACAAGGCAUUUUUCAUCAAAACCAUAUGACUGGUAGUUGAUCACUGCAAAUGAUUCUGCCACUAGGACAGUAGCUUUGGUAUUUUUCUUUUUUUCCUCCCUAUUGAAAUUGCUCUAGAAAGUAUGUGGGAAACCUGUAUGAAUCAAUAAAUGAUUAAAUCCAACUUUA